UACGAACUGUGCAAACGUUAUUCGGAAUCACUGGGCUUAAAGGGUGCGUAGGCGGCUGUCUAAGCAGGGUGUGAAAGCCCCCGGCUCAACCGGGGAAUUGCGUUCUGAACUGGACGGCUGGAGUGGGAUAGGGGUGUGUGGAACUUCCGGUGGAGCGGUGAAAUGUGUUGAUAUCGGAAGGAACGCCGGUGGCGAAAGCGACACACUGGGUCUCAACUGACGCUGAAGCACGAAAGCCAGGGGAGCGAACGGG
rnacentral:rRNA from 1 species